rnacentral:rRNA from 1 species
UUACCCUGUGAAGGACUAAUAGUAAGCACAAUCGGCACAGCCAAGAACGUCAGGUCGAGGUGUAGUGAAUGGGAGGGGAAGAAAUGGGCUACAUUCGCUGUCCGCCAGCGAACACGAACGCUGCAUUGAAACAUGCAGCUGAAGGAGGAUUUAGCAGUAAGCAGAAAGCAGAGUGUUCCGCUGAAGCCGGCUCUUAAGCGCGCACACACCGCCCGUCACCCUCCCCAAGCAACUGGACCUAAAUUUUUCUUUAAACCCUAACAAUCGCAAAGGAGAGGAAAGUCGUAACAUGGUAAGCGUACCGGAAGGUGCGCUUGGUUAAAC